AUACUUACCUGGCAGGGGUGAUUCCAUGAUCACGAAGGUAGUUUCCCCAGGGAGAGGAUCGCCCAUUGCACUCUGGGCUGCUGACCCCUGCAAUUUCUCUAAAUGUGGGAAACUCAACUGCAUAAUUUAUGGUAGUGGAGGACUGUGUGAACGCUCUCCCCUG